GAUGAACGCUGGCGGCGUGCUUAACACAUGCAAGUCGAACGGAACUGUUUGGAUGAAGUUUUCGGAUGGAUUUUAAACAGUUUAGUGGCGGACGGGUGAGUAACGCGUGGGUAACCUACCUCACACUGGGGGAUAACAGUUAGAAAUAGCUGCUAAUACCGCAUAAGCGCACAGAGCUGCAUGGCUCAGUGUGAAAAACUCCGGUGGUAUAAGAUGGACCCGCGUUGGAUUAGCUGGUUGGUGGGGUAACGGCCCACCAAGGCGACGAUCCAUAGCCGGCCUGAGAGGGUGAACGGCCACAUUGGGACUGAGACACGGCCCAG
rnacentral:rRNA from 1 species